CAGAAAUCCCUUCCUACAAUAAGAAUGUUACAGACACUGUUAUGUUGCCUCUCACUGUGGAUUGCAUAUGCUCAAACACAAACACUGGUGCUGACACCACAGGUUGGGUCAGUUAAUCUAGGACAAAGUUUUACCUUUAACUGCAAUGUAGGAGCAAAGGAUGGUAGUGCUGUGUUUUUUCUUAAACAAUCACCUGCAGAGCCUCCUAAACUUAUUUUUUACAACCAUCACUCAUACACGGCACCCAGCUAUGGACCUGGGAUGUCAUCAGUUCACUUCACCGGCACAAUAAACAGCGCUGGAACUGAUUAUCAGCUGAUUAUUAAAGAUACACAGAUUGCAGACACAUCUGUCUAUUACUGUUUAAAGUGGUAUAGCAGUAUUAAUGCAUAUCACAGUGAUAUAGAGACUGACAAAAACUGUCAACUCAAUGAAUGUAAAACAAGAAACAGAAGUGCAUAUAAUCUCAAAAGUUAA